CAGUCGCCACGGGAAUACGUAGGUGGCAAGCGUUGUCCGGAAUUAUUGGGCGUAAAGGGCUCGCAGGCGGUUUCUUAAGUCUGAUGUGAAAGCCCCCGGCUCAACCGGGGAGGGUCAUUGGAAACUGGGAAACUUGAGUGCAGAAGAGGAGAGUGGAAUUCCACGUGUAGCGGUGAAAUGCGUAGAGAUGUGGAGGAACACCAGUGGCGAAGGCGACUCUCUGGUCUGUAACUGACGCUGAGGAGCGAAAGCGUGAGGAGCGAACAGGAUUAGAUACCCGAGUAGUCCCUGUCUCUUAUAC
rnacentral:rRNA from 1 species